rnacentral:rRNA from 1 species
UGGGGAAUAUUGGACAAUGGGCGAAAGCCUGAUCCAGCAAUGCCGCGUGAGUGAUGAAGGCCUUAGGAUUGUAAAGCUCUUUUACCCGGAAUGAUAAUGACAGUACCGAGAUAGUC